CACUGCACCUGGGCAUGGUGGCACUCCCCGCCAGGGUUGCAGGCAAUGCACCCCCUAACCCUAAAUAGUGUUCACGCACUUGCCAGAAAUGGCAGCCCCCAGUGGGAGGUCUUUAUCAAAGAUGCUUCCCUCCCCGCCCAUCAAAAAGAAGCUCUCAAGAGUGCUGAAUCGAGCUCAGAAUAUCGGAAACAGCCGCCCGCUGAGGGCCGGCAGAGCGUGCAGCUGACAAUUCGCUGCACGAGUGGUUUGGCCACGCCCUCUGCCAAUUCCGAGCGGCGGCCUGCAGUGGAUGCUGCGGCUUUU
rnacentral:telomerase_RNA from 1 species